GGUUCCGUGGUCUAGUUGGUUAUGGCAUCUCGUGAUCCCCGGUUCAAUCCCGGGCGGAACCU
rnacentral:tRNA from 1 species